GUCUCAGUGGCGUAGUGGUAAGCCCACGAGCCCCAGUUAGGCGCGAGACGCGGGUUCGAACCCCGUCUGAGAUG
rnacentral:tRNA from 1 species